UAACAGCCGCCGGACAAGAGCGGGAAUCAUUGAUGUUGAUUUAUAUGAGACAAAAUCUCGCUGUUUA
rnacentral:tRNA from 1 species